UCAUCCAUAAACAUGAAAAUAUAUAAAUACAAUGUUUUUGAUGUAGUUAAUCAUCACAUAUAAUGUGGAAACUCUUAAAAUUAAAUAUAGCACAUCUGCUACCAAUGUAAAUACACUCAAAUGAAAACAUUAUAUUAAUUCCAGAACCAAUCCAUAUAACAUGAUGCGUUCAUUGGCUAUCAAAAUAUCAAAGCUAGGUCACGAGAAAGAACAUUAGAGCAUCAAUUUGAGUCCGCAGUUGUGUAAUUGAGAAAUUGUCCUUGAGCAAAAGAGUGUCCACAUGAGUUUGUUGGGUGUUACACAAACUUGAGAUCCUCUAUUAGAUUCUGUCGAGAUAAUUAGUAUUGCAACAAAUAAAUGAAAAAAAAGAUCAAACAUAAAUAAUACAACAUGAACGAAAUAAUUAUUCAAUAUAAAAUAAAUGAUACGCAAAAGAAGAUGUAUCAUCGUUUACUGAACCAUUCCAUCAUGAAUAAGUCAAGUGGUUCACCCAAUAACAAUGCAAUUUUUGAUGUCCCUGAAGUUUACGAGAGAUCAAUUCACUUAAAGGCAAUCCAUCCCUGCUUUUUUCAUCAGGUUUGAGAACAAUUAUUUAAUUCAUAAGAAUAGGGUUGACACUUGAAUUUUCUUCUAGUAAAACUAUAAUGUAUCAUCGUUUACUGAACCAUUCCAUCAUGAAUAUUGUCAAGUGGUUCACCCAAUAACAAUGCAAUUUUUGAUAUCCCUGAAGUUUACGAGAGACCCAUUCACAAGAAGGGCAAUAGGUCCCUGCUUUUUUCAUCAGGUUUUCUAACAAAGAAAUAAAGCUCAGAAGCCAAGCGUAACAAGAAAAUUUCAUCGAAGAUCCAAGCUUAAAAUAGAUCUCCUUACGUGUUAGCUAUCUCAUCACUGCAUCAUAUAAUUUGGCUACUGUUAAUUUGAAGGAAUGCUGGAGAGAAAUGAGAACAUCCUCCAAUCGUGAUAAGUAGCAUUAUAUAGGCACCGUGCAAAAGGUAAUUUCUCAUUGAAACAAGAAGAAAAUACCCGUUGUCUGAGAUAUGCCCUUAAAAGAAGAAUUAUGUAUAAAUAUAUCCAAGAAAUUGUAUCAAGAGAGUACAACAAACUCUAAUGGAUCUUCAUCUUGGAUUCAUUUAGGCUUCAUGCGGCAGACGGGUUACCAUUAACCGGCACCUGCUGCAGACUCUUUUUGUGAAGCCAUUGUUAACAACAUUCAAAACAAAACCAAAGGGAAAUUCAUUGCUUUUACUAUGAUAUUACUCUCCUCCCUGCCAUAGAUCAGUUAUGGCAAAAAGCAAAAUUGAUGAAAACUAAAGCAAACAAAGGCUCAGACACGCACAAACAGGUCAUCAAAAAAGUAUAUAACUUUGAUAUAGUUAUAUAUCAGCAUCGAGAAAUGAUUGAUUUCUUCAUGGCCUCUUAAAAAAACAAAUACUAACAAUAAUGAUAUGAAAACAAAGAAGAUAGGCUCAGACGACACGCACAGGAGUCAUCAAAUUGAUGAAAAUUGUUGCAUUACAAUCAUCUCAGGAAUGCAUUUUUGUCUUCACAGCCUCAAACUAGCAUCUGAAAUAGAAGAACACUUUAUACACAGAGAAAACCCUAGCCUUCAAAUCUAAGAAGGUGGACUGUGUUUGGGCUUCAACAUGACAUAGGAAUUUAUUACUUGGGCUCAAGUACAACGCCAAUCCUUU
rnacentral:lncRNA from 1 species